rnacentral:rRNA from 1 species
CACGUAGGAGGCAAGCGUUAUCCGGAUUUACUGGGCGUAAAGCGCGUGCAGGCGGUUCAGACAGUUGGAUGUGAAAGCUCCUGGCUUAACUGGGAGAGGUCGUUCAAUACUUCUGGACUAGAGUAUGGGAGAGGGAGGUGGAAUUCCGGGUGUAGUGGUGAAAUGCGUAGAUAUCCGGAGGAACACCAGUGGCGAAAGCGGCCUCCUGGCCCAAAACUGACGCUCAGACGCGAAAGCUAGGGUAGCAAACAGG